UACGGAGGGAGCUAGCGUUAUUCGGAAUUACUGGGCGUAAAGCGCACGUAGGCGGCUUUGUAAGUAAGAGGUGAAAGCCCAGAGCUCAACUCUGGAAUUGCCUUUUAGACUGCAUCGCUUGAAUCAUGGAGAGGUCAGUGGAAUUCCGAGUGUAGAGGUGAAAUUCGUAGAUAUUCGGAAGAACACCAGUGGCGAAGGCGGCUGACUGGACAUGUAUUGACGCUGAGGUGCGAAAGCGUGGGGAGCAAACAGGG
rnacentral:rRNA from 1 species